rnacentral:rRNA from 1 species
AUUGAACGCUGGCGGCAUGCCUUACACAUGCAAGUCGAACGGCAGCACGGGUGCUUGCACCUGGUGGCGAGUGGCGAACGGGUGAGUAAUACAUCGGAACAUGUCCUGUAGUGGGGGAUAGCCCGGCGAAAGCCGGAUUAAUACCGCAUACGAUCUACGGAUGAAAGCGGGGGACCUUCGGGCCUCGCGCUAUAGGGUUGGCCGAUGGCUGAUUAGCUAGUUGGUGGGGUAAAGGCCUACCAAGGCGACGAUCAGUAGCUGGUCUGAGAGGACGACCAGCCCACAGUGGGACGGAGCCACGCCCAACACCCCGAGGGGGGGAGCAGGGGGGGAUUUUUGGAAAAGGGGGAAAAGCUGAACCAACCAUGGCGGGGGUGGGAAAGAGGGCUUCGGGUUUGAAAGGCCUUUUUUCCGGAAAAAAAACCUUUGCCCCAAACCGGGGGGGGGGAUGAGGGUACGGAAAAAAAAAGCCCGGCCUAACUACGUG